rnacentral:rRNA from 2 species
UGGGCGUUAAGUUGCAGGGUAUAGACCCGAAACCCGGUGAUCUAGCCAUGGGCAGGUUGAAGGUUGGGUAACACUAACUGGAGGACCGAACCGACUAAUGUUGAAAAAUUAGCGGAUGACCUGUGGCUGGGGGUGAAAGGCCAAUCAAACCGGGAGAUAGCUGGUUCUCCCCGAAAGCUAUUUAGGUAGCGCCUCGUGAAUUCAUCUCCGGGGGUAGAGCACUGUUUCGGCUAGGGGGCCAUCCCGGCUUACCAACCCGAUGCAAACUGCGAAUACCGGAGAAUGUUAUCACGGGAGACACACGGCGGGUGCUAACGUCCGUCGUGAAGAGGGAAACAACCCAGACCGCCAGCUAAGGUCCCAAAGUCAUGGUUAAGUGGGAAACGAUGUGGGAAGGCCCAGACAGCCAGGAUGUUGGCUUAGAAGCAGCCAUCAUUUAAAGAAAGCGUAAUAGCUCACUGGUCGAGUCGGCCUGCGCGGAAGAUGUAACGGGGCUAAACCAUGCACCGAAGCUGCGGCAGCGACACUGUGUGUUGUUGGGUAGGGGAGCGUUCUGUAAGCCUGUGAAGGUGUGUCGUGAGGCAUGCUGGAGGUAUCAGAAGUGCGAAUGCUGACAUAAGUAACGAUAAAGCGGGUGAAAAGCCCGCUCGCCGGAAGACCAAGGGUUCCUGUCCAACGUUAAUCGGGGCAGGGUGAGUCGACCCCUAAGGCGAGGCCGAAAGGCGUAGUCGAUGGGAAACGGGUUAAUAUUCCCGUACUUGGUGUUACUGCGAAGGGGGGACGGAGAAGGCUAUGUUGGCCGGG